rnacentral:rRNA from 1 species
AAGUCGUAACAAGGUCUCCGUAGGUGAACCUGCGGAGGGAUCAUUACUGAGUGAGGGCGCGAGCCCGACCUCCAACCCCAUGUUUCUAUACCAUGUUGCCUCGGGGGGUGACCCGGCCCUCCGCGGUUGGGGCCCUCCGGUGGACCUCUCAACUCUGCAUCUUUGCGUCGGAGUGGAAAUUGAAUUAAACAAAACUUUCAACAACGGAUCUCUUGGUUCUGGCAUCGAUGAAGAACGCAGCGAAAUGCGAUAAGUAAUGUGAAUUGCAGAAUUCAGUGAAUCAUCGAAUCUUUGAACGCACAUUGCGCCCCCUGGCAUUCCGGGGGGCAUGCCUGUUCGAGCGUCAUUACACCCCUCAAGCCUCGCUUGGUAUUGGGCGCCGCGGUUCCGCGCGCCUCAAAGUGUCCGGCCGAGCCGUCCGUCUCUCAGCGUUGUGGUUCAAUCAAAUCACGAAGGGACGUCCGGUGGGCGCCGUUAAACCUCUCUCCAGAAGGACCUCGGAUCAGGUAGGGAUACCCGCUGAACUUAAGCAUAUCAAUAAGCGGAGGAAAAGAAACCAACAGGGAUUGCCCUAGUAACGGCGAGUGAAGCGGCAACAGCUCAAAUUUGAAAUCUGGCGCAAGCCCGAGUUGUAAUUUGUAGAGGAUGCUUCAGGGCAGCGGCCGGUCUAAGUUCCUUGGAACAGGACGUCAUAGAGGGUGAGAAUCCCGUAUGCGACCGGCUGGCACCCGUCACGUAGCUCCUUCGACGAGUCGAGUUGUUUGGGAAUGCAGCUCUAAAUGGGAGGUAAAUUUCUUCUAAAGCUAAAUACCGGCCAGAGACCGAUAGCGCACAAGUAGAGUGAUCGAAAGAUGAAAAGCACUUUGGAAAGAGAGUUAAAAAGCACGUGAAAUUGUUGAAAGGGAAGCGCAUGCAACCAGACUUGACGGCGGUGUUCCGCCGGUCUUCUGACCGGUCUACUCACCGUCGGCAGGCCAGCAUCGUCUGGGGCCGUCGGAUAAAGGUUUGGGGAAGGGCUUCGGCCCGGCCCCCUACACAAUACGGCGCGUCCCGGGCGAGGUCCGCGCUUCGGCUAGGAUGCUGGCGUAAUGGUUGUUUGCGGCC